rnacentral:lncRNA from 1 species
AGAAAGGAAAAUUGAUUGAAGUUUUGGUGGAUCCCAGCCAAUACCUAGGGUAGAAUAAGACCCAGAAAUGAUAUAAAAACAGCGAACUUAUGGGAUGAAUCCUUGCUUAUUUUCUUUCUGAACUUUCAGAUUAAACAAUGCUCAGAGAAAAGAGAAAGAAUCCUGCCCCCCACGCCAAUGAAACAGCAUUUUGGAUUUUGUCAUACUGUAAAAAGGUUGCAGUCUUGGAAAAAUAGGGUAGUUUUGAGUCAAAUUAAGAAUCUUUCAUUAGGGUCUUGCUCAAGUACUUUUUGUUUAAACUUUCUACUUGGAAAUAAUUUCAAACUUCAAAAAAAGUUGCAAAAGUAAAAAUAUUAAAAGACACACACACACACAUACACACACACACACACACACACUUAUUCCAUCUACCUAGAUUCAUCUGUCUUUAACAAUUUACCCCCUUUACUUUGUCAUUUGCUUCCAUCUCUCUCUGUAUGCAUAUACAUGUAUAUCUAUACAUGCAUGUAUGUAUGUAUAAGUGUAUGCAUAUACAUAUGCAUGCACACAUGAACACACACCCUUUGAGGCUAAGUUAUUUAUAUCAUAGUCCUUUGACUGCUAAAUAAUAACUGUGUAUUUCCUAAGAAUAAAAAUAUCUCUUACAUAACAACAUCGGAGUUAUAAAUACUUUUAUCUAGUCAUCUGUCCAUAUUCUAAUUUUGUCAGUUGAUCUAAUAAAUGUCUUUCAUACCAUUUCCCCCCUUCUAGUACAGGAUUCAAUCUAGAGUUAGGUAUUGCAAUCAAUUGUCAUGUCUCUUUAGCCUCCUUUAAUCUAGAAUAUUUUCAGAGCCUUUCUUUAUAUUGACAUUUUUGAAAAAUAUAGUCCUCUCUCCCUUUUUAAUAUACCUUUUUUUUGUUUAAAAUUUCAACUUUUAUUUUAGAUACAGGGGUACAUGUACAAGUUGCAUGAGGAUAUUGUGUGAUGCUGAGGUUUGGGGUACAGAUCUUUUCAUUUAGGUAGUGAGCAUGGUACUUGAUAGGUUAUUUUUCAACCCAUGCCUUCCUCCUUCCCUUUAUGCUCUAGUAGUCCACAUUGUCCAUUGUUUCCAUAUUUAUGUCCAGAUGUGCUAAAUGUUUAGCUCCCACUUAUAAGUGAGAACACGUGGUAUUUUUUUUUCCUGUUCCUGCAUUACUUCACUUAGGAUUUUGGCCUCAAACUACAUCCACGUUGCUGCAAAGGACAUGAUUUCAUUCUUUUUAAUGGCUGCAUAGUAUUCCACAGUGUAUAUGUACCACAUUUUUUUUCCAGUCCACAAAUGAUGGACAACUGGGUUGAUUCUAUAUUUUUGAUACUGUGAAGGGCACAGUGAUGAGCAUACAUUUGCACGUCUUUUUGGUAGUAUAAUUUAUUUUCCUUUGGGUAUACACCCAAUAAUGUGAUUGCUAGGUUGAAUGGUAGCACUAUUUUAAGUUCUUUGAGAAAUAUGCAGACUGCUUUCCACGGUGACUAACUUACAUUCCCACCAGAAGUGUAUAAGCGGCUGGGCGCAGUGGCUCAAGCCUGUAACCCCAUCACUUUGGGAGGCUGAGGCAGGAAGAUCACGAGGUCAGGAGAUCGAGAGCAUCCUGGCUAACAUGGUGAAACCCCAUCUCUACUAAAAAUACAAAAAAAUUUCUGGGCGUGUGGUGGCAGGCACCUGUAGUCUCAGCUACUCGGGAGGCUGAGGCAGGAGAAUGGCGUGAACCCGGGAGGUGGAGCUUGCAGUGAGCAGAGAUAGCACUACUGCACUCCAGCCUGGGCAACAGAGCGAGACUCCAUCUCAAAAAAAAAAAAAAGUGUAUAAGCAUUUCUUUUCUUCACAACCUUGCCAACAUCUGUUUUUUGACUUUUUAAUAAUGGCCAUUCUGGCUGGCGGGAGAUGGUAUCUCAUUGUGAUUUUGGUUUGUGUUUCUCUAAUGAUUAGUGAUGUUGAACAUUUUUUCAUGUUUGUUGGCCACUUGUAUCUCUUCUUUUGAGAAAUGUCUGUUCAUAUCCUUUGUCCAUUUUUUUAAAAGGAGUUGUUUUUUGCUUGUUGAUUUGUUUAACUUCCCUUUAAAUUCUGGAUAUUAGGCCUGUUGAUUGUUUCUUUUGCUGUGCAGAAACUUUUUAGUUUAAUUAGGUCCCACUUGUCUACUUUUGUUUUUGUUACAAUUGCUUUUGGGGACUUAACCAAAAAUUCUUUGCCAAGGCUGUUACAGUUUGGCUUUGUGUCCUCACCCAAGUCUCAUGUUGAAUUGUAAUUCCCAGUGUUGGGAGAGAGAUCUGGUGGGAGGUGCUUGAAUCGUGGGGGCAGAUUUCCCCCUUGCUGCUCUUGUGAUAGUGAGUGAGUUCUCACGAGAUCUCACAGAUUUGUUUAAAAGUGUGUAGCAAAAAAGUACUACUCACUUUUUUGUUUGAAAGGGUGUAGGACUUCCUCCUUUGUUCUCUCUCUCUCCUGCUUACUUCCCCUUUGCCCUUCCACCAUGUUUGUAAGUUUUCUGAGGUCUCCCAAGCCAUGCUUCCUGUAUAGCCUGUGGAAUUGCGAGUCAGUUAAACCUCUUUUCUCCAUAAAUUACUCAGUCUCAGGUAUGUCUCUAUAGCAGUGUGAGAAUGGACUAAUACAGAAAAUUGGUGCCAGAGAAGUGGGGCAUUGCUAUAAAGAUACCUGAAAAUGUGGACACAACAUUGGAACUGGGUAAGGAGCAGAGGUUGGAACAGUUUGCAGGGAUCAGAAGAAGGCAGGAAGAUGAGGGAAAGUUUGGAACUUCCUAGAAACUUGUUGAAUGGACCAAAAUGUGGAUAGUGAUAUAGACAGUGAAGCCCGGGCUGUGGUUGUCUCAGAUGGAGAUGUGGAACUUAUUGGGAACUGGAGUAAAGGUAACUUUUGUUAUGCUUUAGCAAAGAGACUGGUGGCAUUUUGCCUCUGCUGUAGAAACCUAUGGAACUUUGAACUUAAGAGAGAUGAUUUAGAAUAUCUGGGAGAAGAAAUUUCUAAGUGCAAAGCAAGUAAAUUGGUGACUUCUUAAAGCCUAUGCUCAUUUGCAUAAACAAAGAAAUAACCUGAAACUAGAACUUAUAUUUAAAAAGGAAGCACAGCAUAAAAGGUUGGAAAAUUUGUAGCCCAACCAUGUGGUAGAAAAGAAAAAUCCAUUUUCUGGGGGGACUUUCGAGGCUGCUGCAGAAGUUUGCAUAAGUAAAGAAGAGCUGAAUGUUAAUAGCCAAGACAAUGGGGAAAAUGCCUCCAAGGCAUUUCAGAGACCUUCACAGCAGCACCUUUCAUCACAGGCCUGGAGGACUAAGAGGGAAAAAUGGUUUCCUGGGCUAGGCCCAGGGCUCCACUGCUCUGUGCAGCCUUGGUACAUGGUGCCCUGCAUCCCAGCCACUCCAGCUCCAACUGUGCCUGAAAGGGGCUCAGUUACAGCUCAGGCUGUUGCUUCAGAGGGUGCAAGCCCAAGCCUUGGAAGCUUCCAUGUGGUUUUGGACCUGCAGGUGCGUAGAAGGUAAGAGUUAAGGUUUGAGAACCUCUCCCUAGAUUUCAAAGAAUGUACGAAAAUGCCUGAAUGUCCAGGUAGAAGUCUGCUGCAGGGGCAGAGCCCUCAGGAAGAACCUCUACUAGGGUAAGGCAAAGGGGAAAUGUGAGCUUGGAACCCCCAUACAUAGUCCCCACUGGGGCACUGCCUAGUGGAGCUGUGAGAAGAGGGCUACUGUUCUCCAGGCCCCAGAAUGGUAGAUCCACUGACAACCUCACCAUGCACCUAGAAAAACUGCAGGCACUCAAUGAUGGCCUGUGAAAGCAGCCAAGAGGACUGUACUCAGCAGAAUCACAGGGGCGGAGCUUUCCAAGGCCUUGGGAGCCCACCCUUUGCAUCAGUGUGACCUGGAUGUGAGACAUAAAGGAGAUUAUUUUGGAGCUUUAAGAUUUAAUGAUGGCCCUGCUGGUGUUCAGACUUGCAUGGGGCCUGUAGCCCCUUUGUUUUGGCCAAUUUCUCCCUUUCAGAAUGGGAGCAUUUACCCAACAUCUGUACCCUCAUUGUAUCUUGGAAGUAACUAACUUGUUUUUUAUUUUACAGGCUCAUAGGCAGAAGGGACUCGCCUUGUCUCAGAUGAGACUUUGGACUUGGACUUUUUACUUAAUGUUGGAAUGAGUUAAGACUUUUGGGGACUGCUAGGAAGGCAUGAUUGUAUUUUGAAAUGUGAGAAGGACAUGAUAUUUGGGAAGGACCCGAGUGGAAUGAUAUGGUUUGGAUCUGUGUCCCCAUCUAAAUCUCAUGUUGAAUUGUAAUUUCCAGUGUUGGGAGAGGGGCUUGGUGGGAGGUGACUGGAUCAUGGAAGUGGGUGUCCCCCUUCCUGUUCCCAGGACAGUGAGUGAGUUCUCAUGAGAUCUUGUUGUUUUUUAAAAGUGUGUAGCACUUUCCCCUUCACUCUGUCACUCCUGCCGCCAUGUGAAGACAUGCUUGGUUCCCCUUCACCCUUCUGCCAUGAUUGUUAAGUUUCCUGAGGCUUCCCCAGCCAUUCCUCCAUACAGCCUGUGGAACUCUGAGUCAAUUAAAUCUCUUUUCUCCAUAAAUUACCCAGUUUCAGGUAUGUCUCUAUAGGUGUGAGAAUGGACUAGUAGAAAGGCCAAUGUCAUCAAUAGUAUUUCCUAGAUUUUCUUCUAGGAUUUUAUAGUUUAAGGUACAUUUAAAUAUUUGAUCCAUUUUGAGUUAAUUUUUUUAUAUGGUGAAAGAUAGGAGUCCAUCUUUGGUCUUCUGCAUAUGGCUAGCCAGUUAUCCCAGCACCAUUUAUUGAAUUAGGAGUUCUUUCCCCAUUGCUUGUUUGUAUCAGCCUUGUUGAAGAUCAGAUAGUUGUACAUGUAUGGCCUUAUUUAUGAAUUUUCUAUUCUGUUGCACGGGUUUAUGUGUCUGUUUUUGUACCAGAACCAAGCUGCUUUGGUUACUGUAGCUUUAUAGUAUAAUUUGAAGUUGGGUAGUGUGAUGCCUCCAGCUUUGUUCUUUUUGUUUUGGAUUGCUUUGGCUAUUCAGCCUUGUUUUUGCUUCCAUAUAGAUGUUAGAAUAGUUUUUUUUUCUAAUUCUGUGAAGAAUAACUUUGGUAGUUUGAUAGAAAUAGCAUUGAAUAUGCAAAUUUCUCUGGCUAGUAUGGCCAUUUAAAAAAUAUUGAUUAUUCCAAUCUAUGAGCAUGGCAUGUUUUUCCAUUUAUUUGUGUCAUCUCUGAUUUCUUUCAACAGUGUUUUGUAGUUUUUCUUGUAGAGAUUGUUCACUUCCUUGGUUAGCAGUAUUCCUAGGUAUUUUGUUUUCUUCAUAGCUAUUGUAAGUGGGUUUGUGUUCUUGAUUUCACUCGCAGCCUGGAUGUUUCUGGUGCAUAGAAAUGCUACUGAUUUAUACACUGAUUCUGUGACCUGAAAUUAUACUAGUCUGUGAGUUGUAGGAGCCUUCUGGCAGAGUCUUUAGGAUUUUCUAUACAGAGUCAUGCCAUAAGUGAAGAGAGAUAGUUUGACUUCUUUCACUAUUGGGAUGGCUUUUGUUUCUUUCUCUUGCCUGAUUGCUCUGGCUAGGACUUCCAGCACUAUGUAUAACAGGAGUGGUGAGAAUGGACAUACUUGUCUUGUUUCAGUUCUCAAGGGGAAUGGCUUGAGCUUUUGCCUAUUCAGUAUGAUGUUGGCUGUGGGUUGGGCAUGUAUAACUCCUAUUAUUUUGAUGUAUGUUCCUUUGAUGCCUAAUCUGUUGAGGAAUUUUUUCAUGAAAGAAUGUUGGAUUUUAUCUUAAGCUUUUUCUGUAUCUAUUGAGAUGAUCAUAUGUCUCUUGCUUUUAAUUCUGUUUAUGUGGUGAAUCCUAUUUAUUGGUAUGAAUAUGUUAAACCAGCCUUGCAUCCCAGAAAUAAAGCCUACUUGAUUAUGGUAUGUUAACUUUUUGAUGUGCUGCUAGAUUUGGUUUGCUAAUAUUUUUGGAAAUUAAAGAACUUCCUCCUGAAUAACUACUGGGUAAAAUAAAAAAAUUCCUUGCAACUAAUGAAAAUAGGUUUACAAGUUACCAAAAUCUCUGGGAUGCAGCCAAAGCAGUGUUAAGAGGAAAGUUUAAAGUCCUAAAUGCUUUCAUCAAGAAGUUAGAAACAUCUAAAAAUUAGCAGUCUAAUUCUGCACCUAAAAGAAUAGAAAACCAACCCCAAAGCUAACAGAAGUAAAAAAAUAAUUAAAAUUAGAGAAGAGCUUAAUGAAGUUGAGAUGCAAAAGAUCCAUGAAACAAAAAGUAGGUUCUUCAAAAAAAUAAAAUAAGAGAUUGAUAGACUGGUAGCAAGAUUAACAAAGAAAAGGAAAGAGAAGAUUCAAAUAAGAACAAUCAGAAACAAUAUUACAACUGAUCCCACGUAAAUACAAAAGAUCCUCAGGGACUAUGAUCAACUAUAUGCACAGAAGUUAGAAAAUCUAGAGGAAAUGGAUAAAUUUCUGGAAACACACAAUCUCCCAAGAUUAAAUCAGGAAGCAAUUGAAAUCUUGAAUAGACUAAUAUCAACUUCUGAAAUUGAAUUAGUAACAAAGAACCUACAAAGCAAAAGAAGCCCUGGACCCAAUGGAUUCACAGCCAAAUUCUACCAGAUGUACAAAGAACUGACACGAUCCUACUGAAACUAUUCCAGAAAAUUGAGGAGGAGGGGCUUUUCCCUAACUCAUUCUCUGAAGCCAGCAUCAGACUGAUACCAAAAUCUGGCAGAGACACAAUGAAAAAAGAGAACUUCAGGCCAAUAUCCCUGAUGAACACAGACACAAUAGAAUAUAUCUUAUUUUGUAUUUAUUUGAUGCUACUUUGUGAUUAGAUUUAGUUUGGUUAUUCUCUGCCCUAAUACUCCAUAGGUGAUAUUGUAUCCUUCCCAGAGUAUUACAUUUGGAGGAGCACAAGAUCCCUGUCUCUCUCACUGAUGAUAUUAAUUUUGAUCACUUGGUCAAGUUCUUGUCUAAUUUCUCCACUGCAUAGUUACUGUUUCUGUUUCUCCUGUGUAACCAAUAAGAUUUUACAGGGAGGCACUUAGAGACCAUGCAUAUAUCCUGAUCUUCAUCAAAAUUUCCUCAACUUAGUAUCCAUUGAUGAUUCUAGCCUGAUGCAAUCUUUAUUAUGCUGAUUACAAAAUGAUAACUUCUGAAUUUCAGCACUCCCUUCGUAUUUCUUAAUCUGCUCUUGAAGUUUUGCUAUAGGUGAGAGCCCUCCUUUCUCUCUCUGUCUCUCUCUGACUACCUAUCUACCUAUCUAUAUAGCUAUCACUUACUACUGGUAAGGACUCAUGAAUUCCUGCUUUUCUCAAUGGUUUCUAACUCAUUAAUAUACUUAACUAUAUCGAUAGUCAAAUUUUCCUAGAUGUAUACAGUGGGAGUCCUUUCAAACUGACUCCUAUAUCCUUCUGACAUACCCUAGCAGUUUUUGGACUAUGUUCUUAUUUUCUGACCUAACAAAGUAUUUCAAGUUCACUUAUGUUUACUUUGUCCUUAGACAUUUCUCUGAGUUCAGUUCCUUUCAGCAGGAAAUUAUACUGAAGACCAAGAUGCGGAUGCUAGGUAUGCUCUUUGCUACCGGGAUAUCUUUCUUUCUUAGUCCUUUCAAAAGGCACAUCUGGGAAAUAUAGGCACAUAUACAUAUUUGCAAUGCAAAACACAUAUGCAUGCUCAAGCACAUUUACACACAGACGUGAUUAAGAUUAAGAUUACCAGUGAAGGACAGGUGGACAUCAUGGGUCUCCAGAUGUGAUGCUUGGGAAGGACACUAACCUUCAUGCGCAUACACAUGCACACACACACACAUAUACACACACAUAUUGUGGAAAUCAUGAGUUUGCAUUGAUACUGCCAAUUUGACUCCAUCCCUGCAUCUACACAGGGUUCUUUCCAGUCUUUCCUUAUUCCAUAUUUAUAUGUUCCUUUUCCCUCAAUGAGAACCUGGGCACCCAAUGACAACACAUUUACAUAAUCUUAUAAUACAGAACAAUGUUUCAAAAUUGCUUUGCUUAUAUCAUUACAAUAAAAAAAUCUUACUACCAAGCCUUCCAGAUUUGCUUACAAUUCUCACCUUGUUCCCACCACCCCCACCCCACCCUACACGAGACUGGGGUAUAUAGUCAAAUAUAUAGUCAAAUUUUGUGUUCCUAGCUACUUGAAUUAGGUUUUUUUUUUUUUGAAAUGGAGUCUUACUCUGUUGCCCAGUCUGGAGUGCAGCGGUGUGAUAGCUCACCACAACCUCCACCUCCUGGGUUCAAGUGAUUCUCCUGCCUCAGCCUCCUGAGUAGCUGGGACUACAGGCACAUGCCACCAUGCCUGGCUAAUUUUUGUAUUUUUAGUAGAGAUGGGGUUUCACCAUGUUGGCCAGGCUGGUCUCAAACUCCUGACUUCGUGAUCUGCCCACCUUGGCCUCCCAAAAUGCUGGGAUUACAGGUGUGAGCCUGGAUUGGAUUAGUUUUUCCUAAAAACUAAUCCACCUGGCCUGGAUUAGUUUUUUCUUUCUUUUUUCUCUUUCAGUGUGCUUAUGGUAUUUAUUUAAAAUACAAAUAGUUUUCUUUCAGUUUUAGUUUUUUUUCCUGUUCUUAUUUAUUUAAUUUUAUUAUUUUAAUACAUAGAAUACUAAUAUUCUUUUUUUCAGACAAAAUUAUACAGAAAGGUAUAUGCAGGAAAGGACACUUCUCCAUAUAUCCGUCACACUCUUCCUUCUUUACCCCUCAACUCCAGCAUUUCUUGAUUUAUCUCUCCUGUUCCUUUUUGUAAAAAUAGGCAUAUACAUAUUUCAUUUUUUUAAUUUUUCCUUCUUUCUUACACAAAGGUAGCAUAUUACAUGCUCUUUGUACUUCACCUUUUUCCCUUAAUAAUAUCUCUGGAAAUCACUCAAUAUCAGUUGAUAGAGAUUUUCUUCUUUUUUGUUUUUACAACUGCACAUUAACUCUAUUUUGUGUAUUUACUACAUUUUAUUCAACCAAUCUCCUAUAUUGGACAUUUAGAUAAUUUCAAAUACUUUGUGAAUACACAUAAUGAUACCAAAAUAAUCUUGUGCAUAUAUAUUCUGAUAUUGUUGGAGGCUGAGUUUCAUGGUGAAUUCCUGAAGAUGAAUUACAAUGUCAAUGAAUAAAUUAAUAUAUAGUUUUGUUAGAUAUCAUCAUAUUCUUCUCAAUAUUGGUGGCACCAUUUUGCACUCCCUUCAGCAGUAUAUGAGUGUGCAUGUUUUCCCCAAAGCCUUGAUAACGGACAAUAUUGUCAAACUUGAAAUUCAUGACAACUAAAUGGAGAAGAACUGAUGUCUCAGUACAUUUUUAAAUUUUGAUUUCUUUUAUUAUGAAUACAUUUCAUGUUUUUCAAAUGAUUAAGAGUCAUUUUAAUUUUUGUGUGUGAAUUAUUUGUUCAUGGCUUUAGCCCAUUUUUCAUAGGAUUUUUCAGUUUUUUAUCCUCAAUAUUUGUAAGUUCUUUAUCAACUAAGUAUAUUGAUAAAGGUAUGUAUAUUGAUAUAUCAUCUGUGAUAUAUGUUGUAAAUAUUUUCACUUACUUUAUUAUUUGUCCUUUGACUUUGCUUUCUCUCUCAUGAAUAUUUUUAUUCUUAAGUAGCUAAAUUUAUCCAUCUUUUCUUUCAUUGCAUAUAUAUUCAUACAAUUGCAGUUAUAUAGAUGUAUACCAUAGAGAAUAGUAUAUGUAUAUAUGCAUACAUAUAUAUAAAACUAUAUAUAGUAUUUAUAUACUAUAACUGUACAUAUAUAUGUAUCUACAAAUACAGCUGUAGAUAGAUUUGCAUGCAUGUAUUAUGUAUAUAUGUAGUUAAGAAAAUAUCCCUUUUUCUCAAGAGUUUUUAGUAGGAAUGGGUGUUGAAUUUUGCCAAAGAUUUUUUAAACAGCUAUGGAGAUUAUUCCUAUCCUUUUUCUCCUUAGUUCUAUUUAUAUGGUAAAUUAUAUUAAGCAAUUUUCUAUCAUCAGAUGCUUCUUACAUUCUUGGUAUAACCCUUAGGUAAUGUUUUCAAGUCCCAUCACUAUGUCUCAGAUAUCAGGGUCUCUACUGCAGUGGCCUUGCCUCUAUUGACAGCCUCCUUUCUGAAGCCUUUAAAAGUAUUUCUCAUAUGUUGUCCCUGAAAUCAUACCUUUUUCUUUAUUAUUUUCUCUUCUUUGCGCAUAACUUAAUUUUUAUAUCUGUAACACUGUACUGUAUAUAUUUGUUUAAAUGUCUCUCUCUUCCAUUAAAUUUUACAUUCACUGAAGGCAAUAAGUAGUUCUUAGAUUUUUUUAAUAUCAAUUUCAUGAGUGUGGAAUCUACAAACCCUAAACUGGCCAUCGAAAAGAGGUAUUCAGGAAAAGUGCUUGUCAGACUUUUCUAGUAACUAGCCACAAAAUUAAAAUCAAUUCUUAUUUAUUACUGUGUUAGAUUUCAGAUUCGUUAGUCACCAAAGCAUGUCCCUUUGAAUCAGUGCAAUGGCUUUAUGUAUAAGAAAAAUCCAAUGCAACCCAAUUAUCUGUAAGAGUGGAAUUAGGCUUAUCUCAAACCAGUGAUGCAAAAAUGAUUCUACCAUAGAUGGAAUUCUCAGAUCCCUGAUCAUCUUCCCAUUCAGCCUUAACAGAUAUUUAAGCUUUGAAGAGAGAAAAUGCAGAAUAGAGAGGUUAACUCUUAUACAUGGCUCUCAGGAUAUGAGGUCCACUAUCAAACUUCUCUGCAGGAUUCAUGUAACUGUUGUUCUAUCCCCUCCAGCCUACCUUCUUGGCACUUUUAAGUACUUUCUGGUGAUAGUUGAAUGGCAUAAUGCUGUAGCCAAUUUUAUUUGGUGAUAUAUCUUCUUUGGACAGUAAAUGGGGUAUAGUCUGACAAAACUCAGGGCAAAUGUGCAUAAGUUUGUGGCAUUCACCCAGGGUAGCUGGAUAUGGCCCCAGCCAUGCUCUCUUCUUUAUGUUGUGAUAUUGGGUUUGUUGCUCUUCCCUAUUAUUCCCCCCAGUGUCCCUCCCCACAAUCACAAUGCCACAGUCUUUGAACAAAUAUGAGGAACCUGAGUGUGCAGAACAGGAAAGAGUUUGGAGAUUUGGAUAACAGAGAUUGGAGGAUACAAAGAUGCUGUCUGAGGAGAAAAAUUUAGAUUCUAUUGUUCCCAUUUCUGUGUUAUUUGCACCCACAAAAUAUCAAGACCCAUCACAGAUGCACCAUUCAAGCUUUAACAAUAAUUCCAAAAGUGUUCCCUGGCCCUGACCUAGCUUAAGGUCAUAGUAUCCUGCUUUCUGGUCAUGCCUUCCUGGCUGGAGCAUGGUGCCUUUGUUAGUAAUCGAGGAAAUCCAGGAAAAAGGUACCUUUGCAGGAGCUGGGAAAUAACUGCCUUGAUUCCCCAAUUCUCACUAUGUGUUUCUGCCAGUUAAUGUGGACACCCAUCCUUUAGCUGGUUGACACAGCCAUGAUUGCUGUUGUCAAACAGUCGGUUAGGCUAUGCAUUUCAGCCCUCGUCUCAGAGAGAACAAAGUUUCUAUAUUUCUGAAGAUUCAACCUUCAGGUUCAAAGCCACCCUCCUAAGUCUGGGUGCCAAGAGGGCUACCUUUAAGGACCUCUUCCCCUGUUCAGAGCCUCUGAGACAUUUUUCAUUAUCUCUGGCCUUAGUAAGUUUCUCUAAACUUUCUUUUCAACUUCUGAUCUUGAUUAAUCUCUUUUCUCUUUCAUUUCCUCAUUUUCUUUGACAUUUUUUAGAGCUUCCCAUCCCCCAGGGUUAAUUAUUUCUACUUUUCAUUGUUUUCUGUUACAAUUUUUAGCAUAUACUACCAAGGCAUAAAAAAAAAAAAUUAUCGCUUCUCAGCCUUUUGGCUAAGAUCAAGUGUAAAAAAAAAAUAUUGACCUAAAAGCACACAAAGCAGCAGCUCUUGUCUAUAGUAAAAGGAGAUACCAAAGCAAUUAAAUAUUGAUUACACUCUAGGCUAGAAAUCAGAGAGCUGGGUCAUCACGUUGGUUUUACCAUUUCUAAUUGUGUGACCUUGGACAAGUCAAUUUCACAGAACCCUUAACUCAUUUUGUAAAACGACCUCUAAAACCCAUCCUGGUCAAAUGUUCUAUGAUUUUUAAAGAUCUAUAAAUGCAAAGUUAUUUUGGGGAAGUCAACCAUAUCUUCUUGUUAAAACAAAACUCAUGCUGAACCAAAGAAAAUAGAAAAUACUAUUUUUUUAAAAAAAUAAAGCACGCAUUAGGCACUUACGUAUGAGCUAAAAUAUGCCUACCUCUGGAUCUAUAUGUGUAGGUUAACUAUUGCUACAAUGUUGUGUAAUAACCACACAAUUUCAGUGGCAUGCAAUAAUAUCUAACUUAUGUGCCUGUUGAGGUAGGCUGUGAGUUUUGCUGAUCUGGACUGGACCAGCCUUGGGUGGUACUGCUCCAUGAGCCUUUCUUUUUCUUCUUGGCACAGUAGGCUAGUCUGAAAACGAUCUUCUCAUGGUGAUGGUAGAAAAGAAGAGAGUGAAUCCAAUCAUAGAAGUACUUUUCAAGCCUUGGGUUAGUCGUGCCCAUGAUAUUCCAUUGCAAAACAAAUCAUGUUAUCAAGCUGAGGAGUUCUCCUGGUGCAGGUGGGUAAGGAAACGAACAUAUGAAUAACAAUGUUAACUAACACAUAGUGCUUUGGAAAUGAGUGACAAACAUGCGUACAUAUGGCUUUUUCUCAGUGAAAAUGAAACUUUAGGGAUUAGGAUCUAGUAUUGCUAUUUCUCCUAUGAGACAGAGCUAAAUUCACUAACAGAGACAGGAGUUGCUGGUUGAGUCAGACUCUAUGAAUUUACUCGCACACAAUUUAAGGCUCAAAUGAAACUGUCAUUUUAGUCAAAUAAGGGUGGUCAAGCUCACAGUACUAACUAAAAGGCAACUGGAGCCCCUCUAAUUUGCAGGUUUGUGAAAAGUUCCUCUGAACUACUCACUGAAGAUCCCUCCAUUGAUAAGCAACCGCUCACUCUAUUCAAGUGGUAAUGAAUGUGCAAAUGCUGACCAGAACUUAAUUACGAUACUAAAAGAGUGUACUUCAAAGAAGAGCUAAUAUAAAAACACAGAGAGACACCUGUCAUCUGAUAGAUUGAUAAAUUACAUGAAUUUAUGUUAUACUGUAAAACUGUCUCUCCCUUUAGUGAAACAAUCCAAAUACCUCCAACUCUGCCACUCUCUACUCCUAACUCUGCCACUCCCUACCCCCACUUUCUGCUUGUAUUCAUAUAUUAUAGUAAAACAGUAAAAUAAAACCACAAUGCUUUGUAUACAAAUUACUGAUGAUUAAGUCUUGUUAAAUACAAAUAGCCAUACACAUGAAGCAAAGCAACAGCCAUACAUAUGAAGCUAGCAUUUGUUUCUUGAGAACUAAUAAGGAACUAAAGAUAAAUAAUUAAGGCAGGUAAACAGUUUAUUUUUCUAGUUGUUGAGCUGUAUAGUU